CACAAUCAUUACACCUGAAAACCAUUAAACGGAACGGAACUUCAACGCCCCAAUCAAAAAGAUGUUUGCAUACAUUUGGCAAAAUGCAUAAUGAUAUCAUUUGGGAUCUUCUUUGGGCAACAGAACUGGGCUGGAGUUCAAACACAAGGAGAGCAUUAAAAUGGCUUUCACAGAUAAAACUGCUCUACAAACGUCGCGACCAAACAAAAGAUAUGAUAACAGUUGGCGGUGGGUCUUACAGUUAGUCAAAUGAUAUGCAUAUCUGAUAAGUGUGGUGCCGCCUGAGCAGCAGAAAAGAAGAAAGUUAUUAAGGUAGCUGAGGUGUAACCCAAUUUCCGGCCCAUUGCCCAAUGAUCCAUGGAAA